rnacentral:lncRNA from 1 species
GCCGCCUCCGGCGAGGCGGCAGGGGUUAAACGCCGUGAAUCCAUCAAUCAAGCGCACUGCCGCCCUCGCGAAACUCGGAGCACCGCCCGCGGGGCCUGCUUUGUGUCUCGCCCGCCCGCCUGCCCGGGGCCUGGGAAGCAAGGAAACCCAUGUGGAAACACGAUCUGGGCUGUCUUCCUUGUGGACAUAACAUCACCUUUUGGGGAAAUAAGACUUCAUUCUUCAAAUGCUGAGGAAGAAAAGGGGUUCAUAGGGCAGAGCUAAUACUCAGCUUGCAUGAAGCAGUCCAGCUGGCAGAUGUGGUAAGCAUCUCUUCUGAUUGGUUGGGGCCUGUAUCAGUGGUUAAGUAUUUUGAAUAUUACCCCUCUACCAUGGACUGAACUUUGUUUUUCCCACCAAAUUAAUAGAUUGAAGCUCCAACCACUAAGUAUGUGACUGUAUUUGGUGACAAGGCCAUUACAGAAGUAAUUCAGGCUAGAUGAGGUCAUGUGGG